rnacentral:rRNA from 1 species
UACAGAGGUGGCAAGCGUUGUUCGGAAUUACUGGGCGUAAAGGGCGCGUAGGCGGUUCGGUAAGUCCUGUGUGAAAUCCCUCGGCUCAACUGAGGAACUGCACGGGAGACUGCCGGGCUUGAGUUCGGGAGAGGGAAGCGGAAUUCCGGGUGUAGCGGUGAAAUGCGUAGAUAUCCGGAAGAACACCGGUGGCGAAGGCGGUCUGCUGGGGUAAUGCUGACACUGAUGCGCGACAGCGUGGGGAGCAAACAGG